rnacentral:tRNA from 1 species
GGGGAUUUAGCUCAGUGGUAGAGCACUUGCCUAGCAAGCACAAGGCCCUGGGUUCAGCCCCAGCUCUG